ensembl:snoRNA small nucleolar RNA SNORD38
UUUCCUUGAUGAUAACUUUUGUCAGUUCUGCUACUGAAUGAAAGUGGUGAUAAUGAAGACUCUGAGAAA